CUAACAGAAUGGUUGCAAGAGAAAGAAAAUCCUCUAUUAGAUGGUCAAAACUCUGAUUGGUUGCUUGCAGAUAAUUUUGAUAAUGAAAUGAAUGUUGAACGAUCACGUCAAUCUCAAGAAAAGAAUGUGUCUCAUUCAAGUUCAAGUCCAACACCAAGUCAGAGUGAUGAUGGUGGUGGUUUAAGUCCAGAUGAUGAUGGUGAUGGAGAUGGUGAUGGUGCAAAUUUUGGUGAUAAUAUGGAUGCAAAUCGACCUUACAGCCCACUUGGAGGAGAAUUUG
rnacentral:lncRNA from 1 species